UACAGAGGGUGCGAGCGUUAAUCGGAAUUACUGGGCGUAAAGCGUGCGUAGACGGUUAUCUAAGUCGGAUGUGAAAGCCCCGGGCUCAACCUGGGAAUUGCAUUCGAGACUGAAUAGCUAGGGUACGGUAGAGGGAAGUGGAAUUUCCGGUGUAGCGGUGAAAUGCGUAGAUAUCGGAAGGAACAUCAGUGGCGAAGGCGGCUGCCUGGCCCAAUACUGACACUCAGGUGCGACAGCGUGGGGAGCAAACAGG
rnacentral:rRNA from 1 species